rnacentral:rRNA from 1 species
GACGAACGCUGGCGGCGUGCUUAACACAUGCAAGUCGAACGAUGAAGCUGGAGCUUGCUCCGGUGGAUUAGUGGCGAACGGGUGAGUAACACGUGAGCAAUCUGCCCUUGACUCUGGGAUAACUGCGGGAAACUGUAGCUAAUACCGGAUACGAGGCUCGAAGGCAUCUUCGGGUCUGGAAAGAAUUUCGGGCAAGGAUGAGCUCGCGGCCUAUCAGCUUGUUGGUGAGGUAAUGGUUCACCAAGGCGACGACGGGUAGCCGGCGUGGGAGGGGGACCGGCGACACUGGGACUGAGACACGGCCCAGACUCCUACGGGAGGCAGCAGUGGGGAAUAUUGCACAAUGGGCGAAAGCCUGAUGCAGCAACGCCGCGUGAGGGAUGAAGGCCUUCGGGUUGUAAACCUCUUUUAGCAGGGAAGAAGCGAAAGUGACGGUACCUGCAGAAAAAGCACCGGCUAACUACGUGCCAGCAGCCGCCGUAA